GGCUAAACCAUGCACCGAAGCUGCGGCAGCGACGCUGAUGCGUUGUUGGGUAGGGGAGCGUUCUGUAAGCCUGUGAAGGUGGCCUGUGAGGGUUGCUGGAGGUAUCAGAAGUGCGAAUGCUGACAUAAGUAACGAUAAAGCGGGUGAAAAGCCCGCUCGCCGGAAGACCAAGGGUUCCUGUCCAACGUUAAUCGGGGCAGGGUGAGUCGACCCCUAAGGCGAGGCCGAAAGGCGUAGUCGAUGGGAAACGGGUUAAUAUUCCCGUACUUGGUGUUACUGCGAAGGGGGGACGGAGAAGGCUAUGUUGGCCGGGCGACGGUUGUCCCGGUUUAAGCGUGUAGGUGUGUGUUCCAGGUAAAUCCGGUUCACUUUAACACUGAGGCGUGAUGACGAGGCACUACGGUGCUGAAGCAACAAAUGCCCUGCUUCCAGGAAAAGCCUCUAAGCAUCAGGUAACAUCAAAUCGUACCCCAAACCGACACAGGUGGUCAGGUAGAGAAUACCAAGGCGCUUGAGAGAACUCGGGUGAAGGAACUAGGCAAAAUGGUGCCGUAACU
rnacentral:rRNA from 1 species